rnacentral:lncRNA from 1 species
CCAGAAACUGCUAUCAUACCAGAGAUUCACUGUGUAUUUAACAACAUAGGCAUACAAUCUGGCAAAUUUGAAAAACUCUUAACAUACACCCCAAAUCCCUGCCCAAAUUUAAGAACUAGGGUGGACACAGUGCUUUUUUCCAUGUCGCAUCUUCUGUGAUGGGGCUACGAUAUGUGGGAGCAGAGAAUGGGGAGGGUGGAGCGCAUGCCAGAUGAGGAUCUAUCAGCAAUGGGAGGGGGCCUCCACUUUAGCAUCUCCACCCUGCUCCUCUCAGAGGACCGCCUUUCAUUGCAUUCAGCUGUGAUGGUAGCAAGAACACAGGCGCACCGAGGACGAGGAGAGCGGGAGCCUUGUGCUCUCUCUGCAUCUGAGGCAGGACAGCACAGGGUAUGGAGCAGUCUGCAGAGAGGCCAGCUCAUCAG